rnacentral:sRNA from 1 species
ACCGCCAUGGACGGCGGUGGUUCUAAACAGAAUUGAGUUUGAAAACUACCAUAGUUAUAUAAAUUAGGAGUUUUCAAACUCAUAGGUUUCAUUUUGCCACGGACGGCAAAAUGAAACCGUUG